UGGUAUGCUGCCUCGCCAUCGUGCAGUACCUGAAUUCUAAGACCUACAAGCUAGGAAGGUGGCGUCACCAAGGAAAGCUGCCAGUAUUGGUCCUCGUGAUGCCAGGUGGGAGGUGAUGGCUUCUUGUGUGACCUCCGUGCUGCUUGAGUGGCUGCAGGUUUUCAGCGUUCACGUGGACACAGCGAUUUUGUUGGGUUUCAGGGCGAGAGGUCUGCUGUAGGGCAGCUGAACUAGCACCAAAGAGCUCUUCCUGGACAGGAUCAAGAAGGCCUGUAUUGGCAACAGAGGACUGUAAAGUGUAUUUACUCUCUUGAAAAAGAAUGAGUUUGCUGACUGACAACUUGGUGAAAGGAAAAAUUACAUCAUUGAACGUACAACAGAACUUUGAAGGUGUUACUUCAUGGAAGCCUGAAGAUACAUUGAACAGUCAACACAUGAAAACUCCACUUUGAAAAUGCUAGAAUGUUCAUCCCAAAUGUCCUUGGAGAAGUUGGAGUCAGAUUCAAG